CAGUAGCCGCGGUAAUACAGAGGGUGCAAGCGUUAAUCGGAAUUACUGGGCGUAAAGUGCGCGUAGGUGGUUUGUUAAGUUGGAUGUGAAAUCCCCGGGCUCAACCUGGGAACUGCAUCCAAAACUGGCAAGCUAGAGUAUGGUAGAGGGUGGUGGAAUUUCCUGUGUAGCGGUGAAAUGCGUAGAUAUAGGAAGGAACACCAGUGGCGAAGGCGACCACCUGGACUGAUACUGACACUGAGGUGCGAAAGCGUGGGGAGCAAACAGGAUUAGAUACCCGAGUAGUCCCUGUCUCUUAUAC
rnacentral:rRNA from 1 species